rnacentral:rRNA from 1 species
AACGAACGUUGGCGGCGUGGAUUAGGCAUGCAAGUCGAACGAGAACCGGGUAGCAAUACCUGGGGAAAGUGGCGAAAGGGGCAGUAAGGCGUGGGUAACCUACCCCGGGGGACGGGGAUAGCCUUCCUAACGGAAGGGUAAUACCUGGCGAAUCGGCGGAGAGGCAUCUCUUUGCCGGGAAAUGAAUUUCGCCUCGGGAGGGGCCCACGUGAUAUUAGCUAGUUGGUGAGGUAACGGCUCACCAAGGCUGAGAUGUCAGCGGGUGUGAGAGCACGACCCGCGCCACUGGCACUGAGACACUGGCCAGACUCCUACGGGAGGCUGCAGUCGAGGAUCUUCGGCAAUGGGCGCAAGCCUGACCGAGCGACGCCGCGUGUGCGAUGAAGGCCUUCGGUUGUAAG